rnacentral:rRNA from 1 species
GAUGAACGCUGGCGGCGUGCCUAAUACAUGCAAGUCGAGCGAACAGACGAGGAGCUUGCUCCUCUGACGUUAGCGGCGGACGGGUGAGUAACACGUGGAUAACCUACCUAUAAGACUGGGAUAACUUCGGGAAACGGGAGCUAAUACCGGAUAAUAUAUUGAACCGCAUGGUUCAAUAGUGAAAGACGGUUUUGCUGUCACUUAUAGAUGGAUCCGCGCCGCAUUAGCUAGUUGGUAAGGUAACGGCUUACCAAGGCGAUGAUGCGUAGCCGACCUGAGAGGGUGAUCGGCCACACUGGAACUGAGACACGGUCCAGACUCCUACGGGAGGCAGCAGUAGGGAAUCUUCCGCAAUGGGCGAAAGCCUGACGGAGCAACGCCGCGUGAGUGAUGAAGGUCUUCGGAUCGUAAAACUCUGUUAUUAGGGAAGAACAAAUGUGUAAGUAACUAUGCACGUCUUGACGGUACCUAAUCAGAAAGCCACGGCUAACUACGUG